AUGUGUGUGAAAGCACCGAGCACCCAGCCUGUGCACCUUCAGAAGACAAGUUAUCAGGCCCCUGGUGUGGAGGGCAGACUGGAAGUCAGGGAGGUGACAGGAUUCUGCCUCUACCUCCUCUCAGCAGUCCCAAGACACAGGGUUGACAGAGACACAGGUCUCUGUGUCUCUGCGCCCACAACUACUAGGAGGAUUAAAAGUGCACACAGUAGGUGCUCCGUAAGCAUGACUUCCCCUGCCCUUCCCCUGCCCCGCCUCUUCCGCCCCUGCCACUCCUGGCAUGCCACUCCAUGCCAGAACCCUCGAUGACUCAUCCACAUAGAGCUUUCGCUUCCUCCUUCUUGUUAAAGGCUCUUGGCCUGCUGCAGCUGCAGAAAGGAGGUGCCUCCUUGGGGGCUCGAAGGCCCGGAGGAGCAGCCAUGGGCCCUGCUGAGGGCUCAGGGCCCAGACGCAAGGAGCUGGGGUGCUGUCCCUGUGGAGCAUAAGGUGGCAAGAGGGCUUCUCAGGCUCCCUGCCAGACACUGGCCUGGGCCAAACUCUCUCCAAAUGGCCGGUCACCUACACAGGCUGGCAUACCGGGGACCGACCUAGAAUUUUUAAGCUGGAAUUGUGCCUCUCCUACUUAUGAGACAUCAGAGGGACCCGUCUUCAUUCAUUUGUUCGUUUGUGCAUGGAUGCUUCAUGACUUUCUCCCUCUGUUCCCUCAUUUAACAAAUCUGUCCUGGUCUCCUAGGUACCAAGUAGUCCCUAGUGGACCAAGAAACCGAAGUUCAUUCUCUGCCCAUGAGGAUCUCCCAGGUGAGGGGGUGGGAAGUGAGGUUGAGGGACAGAUCUGUAAACAGAGAACCUGAGUAGGGUUAAAGAAAACCCAAAACAGGGACGCCUGGGUGGCUCAGCCGUUGAGCAUCUGCCUUUGGCUCAGGGUGUGAUCCCAGGGUUCCGGGAUCGAGUCCCACAUCAGGCUCCUUGCAUGAUGCUUCUCCCUCUGCCUCUGUCUCUCUCUGGCUCUGUCUUUCAUGAAUAAGUAAAAUUUAAAAGAAAAAAAGAAAACCCAAAACGGUAGGGAAGCCUUGGGGGUACUUCUGAGAUCUCUUCAUACAGUUUACCAGACAUGUGUACACAGAAAUGCUUCCUCAUUACAAGCUGGCUUCCUCUCCCUUUAGAGCAUUCUAUAGCGACCAGCUGCUCCAAGGGCAAGGCUAAAAAUUAAACUUCACUGAGCCUCCUCGGUGCAGGUGUGUUGUGCAACUUCGAGGGGUUGGGGAGGGCCCAUUCAUAUCCUAGUCUAAGGGGAUGGCAUCUGGUUGAA
rnacentral:lncRNA from 1 species